rnacentral:rRNA from 1 species
ACCAACUGGGAUUGCCUUAGUAACGGCGAGUGAAGCGGCAAUAGCUCAAAUUUGAAAGCUGGCGUCUUUGGCGUCCGCGUUGUAAUUUGUAGAGGAUGCUUCGGCGAGGGCUCCGGUCUAAGUUCCCUGGAACGGGACGUCAUAGAGGGUGAGAAUCCCGUAUGUGAUCGGUUGCCUAAGCCAUGUGAAGCUCCUUCGACGAGUCGAGUUGUUUGGGAAUGCAGCUCUAAAUGGGAGGUAAAUUUCUUCUAAAGCUAAAUACCGGCCAGAGACCGAUAGCGCACAAGUAGAGUGAUCGAAAGAUGAAAAGCACUUUGGAAAGAGAGUUAAAAAGUACGUGAAAUUGUUGAAAGGGAAGCGCUUGCAACCAGACUCGUCCGCAGUUGCUCAGCCGGUCUCUUGACCGGCGUACUCUUCUGCGGCCGGGCCAGCAUCAGUUCGGGCGGCCGGAUAAAGGCCUCGGGAAUGUAGCACCCUUCGGGGUGUGUUAUAGCCCGGGGUGGAAUGCGGCCAGCCUGGACUGAGGAUCUCGCUUCGGCUAGGAUGCUGGCGUAAUGGUUGUAAGCGGCCCGUCUUGAAACACGGACCAAGGAGUCUAACAUCUAUGCGAGUGUUUGGGUGUCAAACCCAUGCGCGUAAUGAAAGUGAACGGAGGUGGGAACCCUCACGGGUGCACCAUCGACCGAUCCUGAUGUCUUCGGAUGGAUUUGAGUAUGAGCAUAGCUGUUGGGACCCGAAAGAUGGUGAACUAUGCCUGAAUAGGGUGAAGCCAGAGGAAACUCUGGUGGAGGCUCGCAGCGGUUCUGACGUGCAAAUCGAUCGUCAAAUUUGGGUAUAGG